AGUCGCGUGGUCUAAUGGUCAUGAUUUUCCGUUAACACGUGAUCGGUCACCUGAUUACUUCUACAAUUGUAGAUGCCGGAACGGUUCCCGGUUCGAUCCCGGGCGUGACUA
rnacentral:tRNA from 1 species